AGGGACUCUCCUUCCUGGUGUGCUCUUUUCCAGUGGCCAGUGGGUGAGCAUGUGGUAGAGCCUGGAAGUGUUCAUGUGGCAGCCCUCAUGUUUCAGCAGCACCUCACACCCUCCUCCUGCAAGCUUCUCCCCACUGCAACACUGCGUCCCGUGGUCAGCUGCUACCCGGGCCCCCUGGGUCAGAAGGAAACCAAGCCCUGAUACGAAGCAGCCUGUAUUAAAGCACUUCUAGUUCUGGAGGCUGGAAAUCCACAAUCAAGGAGACGGCCAGCGCGGCUAUCUGAAUUUGUAUUGUCCUAAGCUGUGAACUAGCUCAAAGCUGAAAACUCUGAAGGACCAAUCCUCUAGCAACAGGGAUACCCUCUACUCCAUUUUGAAGAAAAUCUGAUGAAAAUUUAAGGGAUUUUGUGUCCAAGUUGGGCGCUCUCUCCUUCACUAUUUGAAUCUGCCUUUCAAAAAGUCAUUUGGAAUUGAACAGUUUACAUCAAAAUUACAUUCCUAACGGAUUCUAGUUUGUCCUUCAAAUGAAAUUAGGUGUAUUUAUAGAGAAUUCUGUUAAUGCAUGUAGUAUUAGGUGUUUAGGUUUAGCAUAAUAAAGGCUAAUGCAAUACAGAGUUCCAAUAACAUUAUGUUUUAAUCUAAUGGGGCAAUAUUCUAAACAACAAACAUCAGAAAUGUUAACAAGCAAUUCAUUUAUUUUUUUGAGACAGGGUCUCAUUCUGUCACCCAGGCUGCAGUUGCAGUGGCAUGAUUUUGGCUCAC